GAUAGCAGCCAAUCUCCUACUUACCCAUGGACUAUUUAAUGGUGGAUUUUACUGACAUGCCCAAAUGCCAUGGUUAUAAAGCAUUGCUCAUUUUCAUUGACACUUACUCUGGAUGGAUAGAGGCCUUCCCCACUCGAAAUAAAUUAGCUAUACAAGUAGCACGCUUUCUUUUAAAGGAAAUAAUCCCUAGAUUUGGAUGUCCAUCUACCAUCAGCUCUGACAAUGGCCCAGAAUUUGUGCAACGUAUAAAUCGCCACUUGGCUGAAGCUGCAGGCCUGAAAUGGAGUUAAGACCCUGGAAGGACGGUCCUGGAUCCACUGGACGAGACUGAAGCCCGCAGACCAAAGUGAUCCAGCCACAUACCAGGUGACAACAACUGACCGGCCCUUGGUGUUGAGGUUCAAGAAGACAUCCUGCUGAGCCCUACCGGUAACGGGCACUCAACGCGCGGUGGUGAUCGUCAAGCUUUGCUGAACCACCCCGGAAGCUGGUUCUCUACGCACAGCCGAAGCUUGGAACGGAGAAAGACAACAUUCCACAAUUGUAAAUUUUAAUGUAACACCCAUUAACAGUGA